UAUGGAGGAGAAUAUCAAUGACUUCUGAAAAAGAAAACAUUAGCAGCCAAAUAAGCCAGUCUGCCUGUGGAAUGAAGGCUCCAGUUUUUGACCUCUAGUGAAAGAAGAAAGAAUCCUCAUUGAGUUGACCUUGAACAACACAGGUUUCAGCUGCUUGGGGCCAUUUAGGCAUGGAUUUUCUUCUGCCUCUGCCACCCCGAGACAACAAGACCAACCCCUCCCGCCCUCCUCCUCCUUAGCCUAGCCAAUGUGAAGAUGACAAGAAUGAAGAUGUUUGUGAUGAUCCACUUCCACUUGAUGAACAAUGUUGGUGAGAAACUGAUUCAGAAACAAUAAAGUUGUGGUGAAUAAAGCUCUGGUCUGACAAGCAAAACAGACAAAUCUGUCAUGUACUGGGCAUUGUGAUACCUACUUGAAGCACAUUAUCUUUCCAAGAUGUUAAGCUGUAUACGGGAUGAUCUUGGAGGCCAAGUUUUGAAGAUGGCAGAGUCACAAAAUGGAAAAAUCCUGAGUUCCUAAAACUCCACUUGGUCUAGAGUGGCCCAUGAAUCAGGAGAUCCUUAUGGACUUUAUAUGAGCAAGAAAUAAACUUCUAUCUAGUAAGCUA